rnacentral:tRNA from 1 species
GCGCUGGUAGCUCAGCUGGAUAGAGUGUCUGACUACGAAUCAGAAGGUCGGGAGUUCGAGUCUCUUCCGGCGCACCA